rnacentral:misc_RNA from 1 species
GUUUAUCACUCACAAGACCUUUUGACAGUAACAGACUACAGAAGAGAUGCCAUGGAUUUUCCAGUAUUUGUAGUUUUACCAGGAAGUGGGGUUGGUUUAAGAUUUGGAACACCUGUACCAAAGCAAUACACAGACAUUAGGAAUAAAUCAUUAUUUUUGUACACUGUCCAAGCCUUUCAUAGAUUUCCAUGGAUACACACAAUAGUAGUGGUUGUCUCUCCAAGCGACAUACCCUUGGUACAGGAACAGCUUGAGGGUAACAAUCUGACCAGAGUGAGGGUUGUAGCUGGGGCAAAGACCAGGCAUAGGUCCAUAUACAAUGGAGUGAAGGCCCUCAAAGAUGGUGGGUGAGCUGGAACAGUAUACUGGACAGGCAUCCAACGAUUGCCAGUGUGUCGUGGGGAUGAUGUGGUGUUGAUUCAUGAUAUUGUUAGAGUUCUAGCUGAAGAACAUGUUGUGAAAGAUGUGGCUAAUGCUGCCAGACUGCAUGGUGCAUCAGGCAUCACUAGACCUUUGACUUCCACCGUGAUAGCCAAGAGCAGCGAUGGAUUUUUGUCAGAAUCUCUUGACAGAACCAAAUAUCUGGCCAGUGAGAUGCCCCAGGGAUUUAACUUUAAUGUCAUUAACACUGCCUUUGAAAAGGCCACUGAGUAUGACUUUGAGUUUGGUACAGAAUGCCUCCACCUGGCUCUUAAGUACACAGGUACGAAGGCCUGGCUAGUGGAAGGACCAGACUCUCUAUGGAAGGUAACAUACAGAAAAGACUUGUUUGCAGCUGAAGGGAUAUUAACAGAAAAUCUGUCAUCAAUAUAUGUUGAGGAGGGAAGUUCACACCUAAGAGAUACAGUUAUGAGCUGUAUUGCAAGCAGCGGUCUCAAGAUAUCGUCUGAAAAGACCCCAAAUUGCACAGACUCAGGAUUUAUCUUCUUUGUACCUCAAAAAAGCUUAGAAUUGGAAAUCGCAACAAAAAUUAAAAAGAUCUGUUCCCUGAUGAACAAGAUUACAUUGGAUCAUUCUGCAGAAGACAGUGACAGCAGCUUAAAUGUGUUGACAGAUAAAAUGAACAAUUCAGAGGAGUCCAGUGGAACAGAGGAAUCCAGUGGAAAAAAUAAAGGUACUCAUAACACAGUAAACAAGGUAUGUACUAAGUGUUCUUUCUUAACUCGCAAGACAGUAGUUACUCUGGUUGAAAUUGACAAGAAUGACGAGAGAAGGGAGAUAAUUGAGGAUGUCCGCGACCAGAUCCUUGGAGAGUGUCUACCAGAAAAUGUGGAUAUAUGUGUAGUUGUGUAUCACAGUGAAGCCAACUCUCACAAGGUGGGCAGUUUGGUGGCAUCACUUGUAAGAAACCAAGACUCUGGAAUGAACUAUCAGGUUCUCUAUGUGGAGUGAUAUGAACCCUCCAAUUCUGUAUGUUAAGUUUUAUGAUCCACCUUGUUCUUUGUGUGGAGCCAUAAAAGCCCAUAUGAACUAAUCGGAUCUUGAUGUGGAGUCAUAAUUGUGAACUGUCAGUUUUUCUGUGGGUUGCUCUAAAUGUUGAGUAAUACAGACCAGUGAGAUACUCUUUGAGGAAAACAAUGAACCACUAACUUCUCCAUGUAGAUAGAAAUACAUCCAAUUCCUCUGAACACUGAACAGGCGUUGUAUUGCAGAAUUUAUCAUUAGCAUUCAGUCCAUCCUAAAGCAUCCCCAUGAAUUUGAUAUUCAAAAGUACACGCAAUUGUCCAUGAGUAAUGUAAUUGAUUCAUGUAGAUAAGGUGCACUAAAGCUGUUCUUUAGUCAGAUUUUGCAUUUUUACAUGCAUUGGUCUUAACAAUGCCCACCUAGAAAUGUACUCAGAAUAUUAUAAAGUGAAUGCUGUACCAGU